UACGGAGGGUGCAAGCGUUAUCCGGAUUCACUGGGUUUAAAGGGUGCGUAGGAGGGCAGGUAAGUCAGUGGUGAAAUCUUCGAGCUUAACUCGGAAACUGCCGUUGAUACUAUCUGUCUUGAAUACCGUGGAGAUGAGCGGAAUAUGUCAUGUAGCGGUGAAAUGCUUAGAUAUGACAUAGAACACCAAUUGCGAAGGCAGCUCGUUACACGAAUAUUGACUCUGAGGCACGAAAAGCGUGGGGAUCAAACAGG
rnacentral:rRNA from 1 species